rnacentral:lncRNA from 1 species
UGUCCAAAGGGAGGGUACAAGGAUGGUGAAGGGUCAUGGAGGGGAAGCGGGGAAGCAGCUGAGGACCCUGCGUUUGCUCAGCCCAGAGCAGAGGAGCUGAGGGGAGGCCUCAUGGCUGCAGCUCCUCACAGGGAGCGGAGGGGCAGCGCUGAGCUCUGCCCUGUGUGACAGCGACAGGGCCCGAGGGAAUGGCGUGGAGCUGCGUCAGGGGAGGAGCAGCUGGGCUUAGGGAAAGGGUUCUAGCGCGGUGGGCACGGCCCCAGGCUGCCGAAGUUCAAUCAGCAUUAGGACAGCACUCUCAGACAUAGGGUUUGGAUUUGGGAUGACGCUGUGUGGAGCCAGGAGCUGGACUCGAUGAUCCUUAUGGCUCCCUUCCAACCCGAGAUACUCCGAUUCGGUGAACCGAACCGCCCGUCUCAGACAAGGCCGGACGUGCCCCGAGCGGCGCAGAGGCGGCCGCCAGGUGUCAGCCUCACCCCGCAGAGCCGCUCCCGCCUCGCAGCGAGCGCCGCGAACGUCGGAUCCCGCAGUUCCCACCCACAGCAGUUCUCUCGUGAGGGGUAACGGUUCCGCGCGUCGCCAGCGAGAUCAGGGAGGGCUGUACCCAGCAAUGGCUGUGUAGGUUCAAAUGUUGAAGCAGCCGUUGCCAUGGAGACUGCUGCAUCAGCUGGAUUGUAACCAGAAAGACCACUGCAACUAAGUGAUGGAUCCGUCCCUGAAUCUGUGGUCAGUUUUGAGAACGGAUGGAGAGAAGUAGUCAUAAAAUGCAUGUGUUUCCU